rnacentral:rRNA from 1 species
CAGGCCUAACACAUGCAAGUCGGACGGUAGCACAGAGAGCUUGCUCUUGGGUGACGAGUGGCGGACGGGUGAGUAAUGUCUGGGGAUCUGCCCGAUAGAGGGGGAUAACCACUGGAAACGGUGGCUAAUACCGCAUAACGUCGCAAGACCAAAGAGGGGGACCUUCGGGCCUCUCACUAUCGGAUGAACCCAGAUGGGAUUAGCUAGUAGGCGGGGUAAUGGCCCACCUAGGCGACGAUCCCUAGCUGGUCUGAGAGGAUGACCAGCCACACUGGAACUGAGACACGGUCCAGACUCCUACGGGAGGCAGCAGUGGGGAAUAUUGCACAAUGGGCGCAAGCCUGAUGCAGCCAUGCCGCGUGUAUGAAGAAGGCCUUCGGGUUGUAAAGUACUUUCAGCGGGGAGGAAGGCGGUGAGGUUAAUAACCUUGCCGAUUGACGUUACCCGCAGAAGAAGCACCGGCUAACUCCGUGCCAGCAGCCGCGGUAAU